UCGAACGUGGCGCGCGGUGCACGCCUGCAUCUUAAAUCUCGCUCGCUCAACUAAGGCAGGAAGCCCGGGUUCGACUCCCGGCGUUCGAA